rnacentral:lncRNA from 1 species
AUUGUUGAUAGCAUAGCAGAUCAGUUCUAUCUAUUUGUCAUCUACUAGAGUUUCCCACAAUCAUGUGGCUACAAAUCUAUGCAUCUUUCAUUUUCAUUUAUUUGUUUAUUAUUUAUGUUAUUUAGCAAAAUAUAGUGGACAAUCUCUGCUGUGGCAGGCAUCAAUGAGAAGCAUUGCCAACUAGAGCAUGCUUGUUGCAGCAUCAGUCGUGCUAGUGGAGACAAAAGAAAAAAAAGGAAGCAUCCAAAUAAUUAUCAAUAAUUCCAGUAUGGAACAGUUCUAGCAAUCAAACCAAUAAACUAUUCUUCUCGCAAAAGAAUAUGCAUGACUUGCUACAGUACCAAAAUCGAUACAAUUUUGCCUUACCUAUCCUGGCCAUUUCCAUCAAAGGCAUGUAAUGCGGGUCUAGAUAGUGAAAAACGUGUCGGCUCUUCAAUUGUGCAGGGCCAAGAAAACUAUUCAGGUCAGGUUGAACCAAACCACUAACAGAUAUAAAAACAUACGGGUGGCAGAGACAAUC